UAAAAAUAGGGUGUUGAUGAUACCGAUUCUGUUUCUGGUAAACAAUUAAAUGAAUGCUAGGCAAGUUUCUCGAACAUUAUCUUCUUUCCCUGACAAAAAACAUUGAUAUGAACAAAAAAAUUCAUUACUUCAGACAUGGAUAGUUGGUUUCCUGUGAAGAAGAAUGUAUAAUGUAACACCUGCAGUCAAAGAGUUCGGAUAAAGGGAUCAGCUCAAAGAACAUUGGAGAGGUCUGAUGACAAUAUUGAUAUAGGUUAUGAAGGUGAUCUACAACAUGAUUCUACAACUGCCAAUGAACUUCGGUAGAAGAGCUGGAGGGGAGGGAAGGGAGCAGAUUGCAGUACAGUCAAACCUGUCUAUAAAGACCACCCUUGGGAGAGUCAAAAUGUGGUCUUUAUUGGGAGGUGGUCAUUAUUCACAGGUUAAAAUACACUGUUAAUGUUAAAAUGGGAAACAAAACACAUGUUCUUUAGAGCCAGGUGGUCUCUGUUCAGAGGUGAUCUUUAAGACAGGUUUGACUGUAUACACAUCAGUGGAAGUGGAACAGGCAGAUUUCAAUACAUACUACAUCAGUGGGAAAAGCGCAAUGAAGUUCAGCUGUUUCCAGUUUGAAACACAUGCCAAUGUGGACAGCCUAGGAGGUCCUCAUCAAGUUGCAGUAGAUUCAUUAAAAAAAAAUGGAGUAAGCUGUACUUAAUGUCUUCUGCUACCUGUAAAAAAUGGGGAAUCUUCAGAAGCACAUAAUGGUAUGGUCGACAUUAUGGAAGUUCAUGGAGUAUGCCCGUAUCCAGACAGAUCUUCAUCUCUUAGCCCACAAGAAGCAAUACCAGGAAAUAUGUGGCAUUCAUCAGCCAGGUUGAUAUUUAUCCCAAGUGGCAAAGUUAGAUACAGCCUGACAGCAAAAUACCCAUUCUUGGAAAAGGAGUGAAUUGUUUUGUGCUGCGGACACUGCAGAAUUGUGGAUUUGACAGUUUAACUUCUCACACACAGUAGGAAGUUGUCAAGAGUGUAAUUAGCCAUUGGACAUGUGGUACAUACAUUUAGUGGUGGAGAAAUGGACCUGGUCAGACAAUUGGACAAUAAAUGUGUAUGAAACGAUCACCAUGGUGCUUUACUAAUGGAAAGGGUUAACUUAAAGCAGGACUUGCACUGUCAUGCGAGGGGAAAAACACGAAAUGGAGACGAUCACUUACCAGUGCACACAGUUGACUAUAGAAGUCAGG